GGCCCCUGGCAAUGGACAAAGAGACAACUUGUUGGUAGUGUUCUUCUUAUAUCAGUCAGCAAUGGAGCAGAUGGCAGUCCUUUAUUCAUCCAAGCUUGAUGCUUGGCUUGGUGGCCAAAGCUGUUUUAUGCCUUGGACUCAUAA